CAUCAGAGUCUCGAUUCCAGGGACAUUUCCAGAUAAGCCUUAUCUCUUCGUUUGUGCAUUAGCCCUGCUGGUCGGGGGCCUGCCAAUCACCGCUGCCCCUCCUGCCCCAGCCCAUGGCAGGAUGUCGGUCCAUGACCUCACUCCAUGUGGGCAGGCAGGUGAGGGGGCCCAGGGCACUGCUGCCCCAUGCCCCACCCCACCCAUCAGCCCACAGAGGACCCCAGAGGGCACCUCUUUUCCAAGGACACGCCUGAAGCACUGGUGGGCAAGGGACUCUGGAAGAACCUGGAGCCUGGACUCAAACUCCAGCUCUAUCUGGGGCAGCUGCAGGCAGCCAAGCCCUGCCCUGCCCACACCCCUGGGAAACCGGCAUGCUGCUGCCACAUCACUGCUGUGGGUAGAUGAGCAGAUUCGGCAUCUUGAGAUAGAGGGAGACUUGGAUGCAAACCACCCAUGACAGCAGUGAAAAGCCCUGGGAAGAAAGGGAAGGAGCCACAGACAGUCACACCCGGGCAUUCAGAGGAGGAGGAGGAAGGAAGCUGGGGUCAGGAAGACUGUGGUGGAAAAGGUGACAUUUCCCUGGGCAGGUCUCAGUGAGGCAGCAUGGCCUCAAUGGAGCAGUGGGUCAGGCAGGAGUGGGCCACUGAUGGCUGCCCUGCUGAGGCCCUGGCUGAGGGUCUGGGAGCUGACCCACUCCCCAUGGCUCCCGUUCUGCCUUCUGGCCCGGAGGCCUCACACACAUGCUGAAACCUCCUGUCUGCUUGUGACGCAGGGAUAACAGGCGCCUGACCUCCUGAUGCUGUGAGGAUGCUGGGGACGUGUCUAAUGAGGGGGACAGGCCUGCCCGGGGUCAUAGAUGCUCUAGGGACAUAAGGCCCCAUGCUGCCAGCAGCACAGGGAGGACACUCCCCUCGCUCAUGGCCGUGGAGACCAACGCUGCAUGCAGAAGUCCUGGCACACAGAGUGCUCGGUUAGUGGCCCUUUCCCUCUCUCCUUCCUUUGUGCCCAAACCCAAUGGCUGGCCAAGGGGAAGGAAGGGCUUGCUUCAACCAAGGGUGCAGAGGCCGGGCCAGGAUGCCCUUCUGACCACACAGCCAUAUGCUCUCAGGCUGUCCUCUGCUCCCCUGUGGGGCUAGGACUCACCCCAGCCUGCCCCUUCCAAUGAAAGAAAAGGCUGUGGCCAGAGGCAAGGAUGGGCCCCUCCUGCAGGCGGCCCUCCUCCUCAGACAGCCCCCCAAGGCUGGCCAUUGGGGGAGCAUGGUUCCUGGUGGCCUCCCGUGGAGCUCCAUCCCCACCAAGGGAGCCGAAUUUUAAUACUCCAAACACUCACUCCCUAAAUGUGUAUACUCUUUAACAGCAGUUAAUCUUCAAUUAAAAUACCUAGAGCAGA
rnacentral:lncRNA from 1 species